AUGGACAGAAGUUUUAGUUUGGGAAGAGUGGGUGACAGGGCUGUCUGCAAUGACCUUGUUGAAUCACACAGCAGCACCCCUUCCUCGGGGCUCCUGAAGCCGAUGCCUGGGCACCAGCUCUGCCAGCAGAGGGUGGCUGGAUUUCUACCCCCUCCAACCCAUCAACUGGUUGCCUUUGUGCAGUGCCCAACUUAUACAUCUGUUCGAGGCAUCCCUGGGCAUUCAGCGCCUGAAUCCAAUUUGAAGAAGCAGGAGCUGCGCCUGCCCUGGGAACUUCCUGUGCAAAGGUGCAGGUCAAGACUGCCCAGUUGCCAUGGUGACGGCCUGCUUAAAGGAGGAUCUGUGCUAGGCACGGGACUAUCAGUCUUGACCUUGAGUCCAGAUUCAGCUGCCAGGGAUGGAGAAUUAUGAGUGCAAAUUGAUCAUCAUAACUGGCCACUAGUCUCUGACCCUCAAUCCUGCAUGCUUUGCAGAAACUUUCACAGAAAACCUUUUUGAUGAUGAAACCUAAUAAUAAACCUGCUGAGCUAGCUCUGGGUCAUUGUUCCUCCAACAGAGGACAGUGUCUCCCCCUGGCCCUAGCUUUUUCUCUAUGUGGGUGUCUGUCUUUUCUCAAUCCCCCACUACGCCUCACAGGUUUCUGAAUUAACAGCCGUGCUGAUUGCGGGGACAGUGUCACAGCAGUAGCUGGGAACUCGAGGCACAGAUGGGCCAAGGCUGA
rnacentral:lncRNA from 1 species